rnacentral:rRNA from 1 species
GCCCUAAAUCUAGCCCGCAUAACCUCCUAUACCACCCUCCCCUUAACCGCCCAUAAACAAAACAUUUUAAUAGCUUAGUACAGGCGAUCGAAAAUCUUAUAAGCGCUUCAGAUAAAGUACCGCAAGGGAAUGAUGAAAUAGUAAUGAAAUAAUCUCAAAGCCAAAAAUAGCAGAGCCUAUAUCUCGUACCUUUUGCAUCAUGGUCUAGCUAGUCUCCCCAGGCAAAGUGUAAACUUUAGUCUGAUUUCCCGAAACUAAGCGAGCUACUUCAAAACAGCCUAAGAGCUAACCCGUCUCUGUUGCAAAAGAGUGGGAAGAUUUUCAAGUAGAAGCGAUAAACCUACCGAGCUUAGAGAUAGCUGGUUGUUCAGGAAAAGAGUUUAAGCUCUACCUUAAGUUUCUUUAUUAUACCAAACAAAACACUAGACUUAAGAGCUAUUCAAAUAAGGUACAGCUUAUUUGAAACAGGCUACAACCUUCAACACUGGGUUAAUACAGAUUUUAUAAAUUAAGUGGGCCUAAAAGCAGCCAUCUUAUAGAAAGCGUUAAAGCUCAACUAUUUUUCUUCUUAAAUUCCAUAAAUUAUCUUCAACCCUUCAUUACUACUGAACUAUUUUAUAUUCAUAUAAAAGCUAUCAUGCUAGAACUAGUAACAAGAAUUAGCCCUUCUCCAAAAUGUAUGCUUAAGCCAAAAUGGACACCCCAUUGGCAGUUACCGCAAAUGCACCAAUUAUAGUACCUCACAACUAGACAACUCUAUAACUUUUAGCGUUAACCUGACACUAGAACAUUACAGGAAAGAUUAAAAGAGAAAGAAGGAACUCGGCAAAUCUCGGUCCCGCCUGUUUACCAAAAACAUCGCCUCUUG